UUAUUAUUAUUAUCAUCUAAUCUUAAUAUUAUACGACUCUUUGAAAACCACUUGUUCUCAUCUAUUUUGGUGAAAUAUAUGGGAAUGGAAAGUUAUGAAACAUGUAUGGUCCAUACAUAUGGGCAGUAUAUAUAAAAAAGAACUAAGAUUGUAAACGGAAAGAAGAAAAGUAGUUUGAGUUUAGGACAGUCUUUGGCUAAUUGUAAGGCUUACCUUGGGAGGAGCUGAUACUAGUGUUGUUUCAUAUAAAGCAUUUGUUAUGUUGUAUUUUGGAGUUCAAGAUAAACAAUUGAUGUCGUUGGUUUUAUUUUGUCGAUUCCCCUAUUUUGGAGUUCGAUAAUCUUUGGUGCUCUUGGUUUUUAGGUGGAUGAUCGGUAGUUGGAUGGUUCAAGAUAAGGUUGGUUUGGCUGGUUUGUGAGAAAUGACUUGAAUUAUUUAGGCUAAAGGCAUGUAGGUUUGGGCUUGUAUUGUUGGGUGUUCUAUGGCCAGUAAUUUUGUUUUUCUCAACUGAUUCUUCUUCUCCAAUAAUUCUUUUUCAAUAUUACUAUUCAUCAAUUAAUCAAACUUGAACUGAUCAUUUUAGUUCUGAGCUAAACUUGAAUUGGUUGUUCUAGAUUUGAGCCAAACUAUGUCUACAAAGGAGUUAUUAAUCCUUAUAGCUGAAACUUUUGUGGACUAACGAGUAGUAAAUUACUAGGGCUGGUUAAUAUUAGAAGCGAGUAGCUGGUUUAUAUAUUUGUUGCAAUUAUUUGUGCUAUAAAUCCUUUGGUUGGUUAAUUUAAGCCCAAGGUUUUGAGAAAGCCUAGGUAUAUGGAAUGCCAUUUGUGAUAUUAGUUGUUAUGGUAUGAUUUAUCUCUCAUUUUGAUGGUGAUUUAUGUUAUUGAUUUCUAUCUUUCUAUGUUGAAUUGCAAAUUGCUGCUGAUUUAUGUUAAACUUUUUAGAUUAUGUUCUCCAAGAAGUGCUUUUCUCUUUACUCACAUUGGAGUUCUAAUGGUCAACCUGACUUUUAUAAGGAAAUUAUUGUUUGUUGAUUCUGAUUACAUCUUUUCUUAUUCAUGUCAGCCUGCAGUUUUGUGUGCAACCAAAAUUUUACUAUUUUUUCGGUUGAUUUAUAAUGAUUUGGGGAGGAAUAUACUGGGGAAAAUCAUCACAAAGUAGGAAUUGGGGUAUGCAGCUUUAUCUUUUUGACAAGCAACUAUGGAAAAUGAAGGAUGCAACUUUUGUUAUGGUGGUCAGAGAAUGCAAUCUUUGCAUGGGAGGACUACUGGUGGCCCUACAGGGCGUUCCACGAAAGGGCAAUGGACUUUGGAAGAGGAUGAGAUAUUGCGGAAGACUCUUCAAUGAUUCAAGGGAAAGAACGGAAGA